rnacentral:misc_RNA from 1 species
CGAUCGAGACCCGGCGGCAUUUGCGCGACGUUCUUGCGGAAGAUACCCGUGUCACGACCCACAUAGACGCCGAUAGGCUCAAGGGCCUGUUUGAUCCGAUGGCCUAUCAGGGCGUCGCGCAAACGCUGAUCGACCGGCUGCUGGCAUCGCUGGCCAGCGAAACAACAAGAACUCACGGAGACCCAACAUGCCUAUGAUCGACGCCGACGGAUGCCUGCUCAAUGUCUCGGUGGAGGGGCGCGACGGCGGACCAACGAUCAUGCUGUCGAAUUCGCUCGGCGCGACGAUGCAGAUGUGGGAGCCGCAAAUGGCGGCGCUGACAAAGCUGUAUCGCGU